rnacentral:rRNA from 1 species
GCAAGUCGAGCGCGCCCUUCGGGUGGAGCGGCGGACGGGUUAGUAACGCGUGGGAACAUACCCUUUUCUAAGGAAUAGCCACUGGAAACGGUGAGUAAUACCUUAUACGCCCUUCGGGGGAAAGAUUUAUCGGUGAAGGAUUGGCCCGCGUUAGAUUAGAUAGUUGGUGGGGUAAUGGCCUACCAAGUCUACGAUCUAUAGCUGGUUUGAGAGGAUGAUC